CUCGGCAUAAUAAAUGUACUUUCCCUUAGGCAUUACAAAUACACUAUGAAACGUACUGCGAGCGAUUUGUCAACAAAUACAAUUUCGCUUGAUUUUCAAUUCAAAGGAUAGAAUACUGGUGCUUAGUAACACAUUUGACAUCCGUAAGUACAAUUUCUUACGCUGAAUCGAACGGUGGUAUUUUUAUCCUUAUUGCGCCAUUAGGCAUUACAAAUACAAGAACAAACCUGUGGACAAACGUAGUGCGAGUGAUUUGUGAUCAACAAUACGUACUGCGAGCGAUUUUUCAACAAUACAAUUUCGCUUCAUUUUCAAAGGCCAUAAAUCGCUAGAAUACGGGUGUUUAGUAGUACACUUGACAUCUGUUAGUACAAGUUCUUACACUGAAUCGAACGGUGUAGCUUUCUUCUCAAAAU